AAAAAGACUGCAGUGAGGUAUGAUAUUUAUACUUUUUAAAAGACAUGUACUUAGUAAAUGCUGGCACUCCAAAGGCCCAGAUGAGACUGCAUCCCCUUGGCAUACCUUGUGUACAGUCACAAGGUAUGAGACAGCUUCUGCUCCUAGGAAUUUAUCUUCUCACUUUUAACCUUUACAGAAGGAGGUUAUCGUGCCUAAAAAUGCAAGAGUCUGGAUGGAAAGUUGAGAGUAGAUCCUAGAUUGCCAUCCCAGUACUCUGCAUGAUAACCUGGGCUCCAGGUUGCUCGCUGCCUUCCCUCAGCAGCACCAGGUGCAUGGACUGGGGUUCAGUUUCUAUCACACCCAAUACUUCCUGAGCACAGAAGAGGAAGCAAACCCAGUCAUGAAAAGCUCAGCAGCUGUAGCUGCUUAAUUAAUGGGGUUAUUUUAAAUCCAGUCACUUAAAUUGCCGUGGACACCCUUUAUUAUAGCCUAGACAAUUUUAUUUCAAGUUAGUUUUAAUCAAUUAGGAAUUGAUUUUAGCUAAGUCUGUAUAAGAACAUCUGAUCUAGUUUAACUAAAUUGGUUUUAGAGAAGUGAAAUGGGUGUAAAUUCAGCAUGAGCCUAAGGAAGAUCUCCCUUUGCCUGCUAAUGACUAGGUAAAGAGGAUCACAGUAAAACAGCAUGUGAUGUGCAAACUCAGUGCUGGCUGUCUUUGCUCUGCACAGGCUGCAGCUUCCUGAACCGCUGAGGUAGUGACACAGCCUGGUUGUGCUCCAUUUGUUUUUCAUGAGACUAUUUUCUGCCAGGCCAGCACUUUAAAGGGGUCUGCAAAGGUGGCAGAGUUGGAGGUUUGUUGAGCAGAGUGGUUGGUAGUAAGUGGAGGGGAGGUGGGAGCUCUGCAUGGUGGAGUUGAGAUGCCAGGUGAACUGAGAGUUAUUACUGAAAGUUUUGAGCUGUGGCCCUUUUCUAUGAUACUAUCUCAUGUUCACAGCUACUGAACACUUGUAAAGUUAUGUUAUUCUUUCAUGUGUCUUUAAUUCCAACUUCUGAUGUUUUUUCAUUCCAAAACAUUAUUUUGCUAUUUUAGCUAUACUUUAGAGCUGGAACUAUGUUUAAAAAAAUACAUGAAACAACUCUCCUGUUAUCUUCAAUUUGCUGUUGUUGUUUUUAUCGUGAUCAUUAGGAGCUCUCAUGUGGGAACUCUUUAUCUCAGAACGGUGAAAAUCUUUGUUUCCAUUCUUAUAAACAGAAAGAACAAAGCUACUGCAAUCAAGGACCUGCUACUUUGGUGCUCUCAGAAGAAAAAAAGCAAGAUUUCUACCUAGGACUUGUUUACUUUGUGCUGGAGCUGUUCCGAACUUGAUUUCUUCUUUGCAGCUGACAAAAGGUGCCAGCCUAUUUAACAGCUGCCUGGAGAUAAGCUCUCGUUGGAUGCAGACAGCAGGUGCGGCAUGGGUGGCAGUGUCGGAUGCCAGCUGAGACAUUGCACAGAGAGCCACGUCUCCUCUGCCUCCAUGUUCACUUUCCCUGUUGGUGGGAGCUGCCAACAGAGUGUUGCAGAAGAUGCUAAUUUUUCGAAUGGAGACCGAAUGCUUUGGAGCCGAACAUAUUCCAUAUGUUUUCACACCUGAAAGCUUUUCAAGAGAUCUGAGAUGUUUCCUUUUAUGCAUGUACAUGGAACUCUUUUUUUGCUUGGCUUUACAUUUCUUACUUUAAAAAAAAAAAAGCAUAUGAUGAUUCCUUCCAAUGUGUGCUUAUAGAAACUGGAGACAUUUGCAUUCCUAGUAUAGAGAAGAUGGGGACUUGACAGUUAUUUGAGUUGGCUUGUUGUUUCUGGUUCUGACUUAUUGCAAACACUGUGUCUACUGCUGUAUCUCUAUUGACUGAAGACAGGCAUCCUGAGGGAUAACUUUGUUUUCCCUCUUAUUUAGAAAGGGGAAAACACGACUCCAGCUCUGCUACUUGUGAAGACAGACACAAAUUUCUAAUGCAGUCUGAGUAAGAUUGAAAGUGUCACCAAGCUCUGAAAAGUGAUCAUUCAUUCACCCUGUCUUCUCUGGGGUGCCCCAGCAACCUGUGGCUUUGGUGUCCAGAGGUGUGUUGGGAAGGCUGAAAAAACAAGUGCUUGGCACUGCUUGAGGUAAAUCAGUGAGGAAGUACUGGUGAGAAGCUAUGAAGGAUAACCAACUCAAAUCCAAAGCUUUGCCAGUUCCAAAGCAGUACAUCACCCGACCUUCCCCUUAUUUGUGUUCAACCUGGCAUACCCUGCCCAGGCCCUGAGUUCAGUAGCUUUGAGAUAGUGUCCUUGGGCCUUAGUCCAAAUGGUGGCUGGGAAGGUUUUACUUUUGCAUUUCUAGAGCACCAGAGUUGCUCAGAGUUUUUCUGGCAGCUUAAAUAUUGGUCUUAGCAGAGAAAGGCCCUGAUCAUGUCUUACAGUCCAAGCAGAAAGGAUGAACAUGAGUUAGCACUCAAGAGCUUGUCUUUGUCACUACAGAAACUGAAGAAAAAGCUUAUUUUUUCAGCAUUGCCCUUCUCUUGACUGAAUCAGCACAGGCAAUGUUCUGACUUCCCAUUAAGGACUUGCUGGGUUUGACAGCCCUGAAAAUGAAGGCACAGGUAGAAUUCAGCAAAAUGGUCUAGAGUGGGUACCAGCAGUAGUGCAAGGCUGGCAGUGGGAAGCUGGCACAGAGUAGUAGCCCAGGAAUUUAUCUCUGGCCUCUUUCACUUUGCUUGAGCCUCUGUAGGGGUAUCAGCUAGCAAUACCCUUACCUUCUUUCUUAAAGAAAAACAUGGCCAAGCUCUUAAAGACAUAGAGGAUUCCCCUAAAUUGAGGUCUUUCCCUCCUAGAAUGUGAAAACACUCAUUCUUUAUAUUUUGUACCUCUUUCCUGCAGCUGCUAGAAAUAAAAAUGAGGCUGAAAGAAAUGGCAAACAUCACGCUUCAAGCCUGAAAAAUCUGUCGUUGCCAAGCACCUGAAUAUGGACUUCUCUAGGCAAGCUACCCAUCUGCUGGAAGGAGACCUCUGCUCAUUCAAAUGAGAGAAAAUCAAAAUCCUUGCUGAGCAGCAGUGAAAGAGCAAUGUUGCUGCCUGGAAUUGCAUCAGGAGUUCUGUACUUAUUAGGCCCUGUAACCGCUACAGCUGAGAAACAAGUCUCUGAGACUGUUCGAAAGCCCAUGGAUUCUUUCUUGCGUUAAUUAGUGAGAAAUGAAACAAACAGCAAAUGUGUGAAAGAAAAGGAUUAAGUAUCUCAUAUCUUGAUAGCUCAAUGAAAUUGCAAGGAGAAGGGAUUCUACCUGUUACUGAUAGGAAAUAAGUCUUUUUUUCUGACUUUGAGCAGAAUUCAUCAUGAUUUUUAUCUACUUGUGGACAGAGAAGUUCAACUAUCGAGGUAAAUAUGUAACAACUAAUCCAGGGAAAUUUUUGUGAGACCAAGUAGAACCCCAUCUGAACCACUCGGGUGUACUUCUGGCUGAGAAGUACCAUAUUCUAAUUCCCUUCUGCACUCACUCUGACAUGAAAAUACAGGGAGAAGAAAACUCACAAAUGAACACACUCCUCCCCAGCACUUAGCAGCAUCAGGAAAACAAGACAAACAGAUGGGAGCCAAUGUAUCAUCACAUGAAAUCCCAUCCCUUUUGAAAACAUGCCAGCUGAAGAUGAGACAAGAUUCUUAUUAGUGUUCUUUGCUGUAGAUAACAAAUAGGAUAUUUUUGGCUUAAAGGUAGCUAGCGAGUGCUUUACUUUUUUAUCCUCCUUUGGAUGCAUGUUGUCUUGGCCAGGUGACCUCUGAAGCUUGAGAUGUACAGAAGUACGAGACGUUCCAGAGAAAUAUCUAAAUGACUUUGGCAAACUUUCCAUCGUCUAAAUCUUGCUUUCCUGAUGUGUCUGUCCACGACUAGAGUUCAGUUUUACCCAGAAAGACCAGCAGUUACUUUUCAGGCUCUUGAGCUGUGUUUCUGUCCACAGUUGUGGUAGCAGGCUUUCCUUGCCUUGUUGACAGUCUUCCUGUUGUCAUGCACAAAACUGGUUUUUGGGAUCCCUCUCCCCUCCAUGCAGUUCAGUGGUGACAUCUGGAAAUAUUACUCAGGAAGUUUCUGAACAUCUGGGCCUCCAGCAGGCUCAGCACCUGCAUCACCAUUGUCCCAAGGCCUCUCCCAGCAGCGAGCUGUCACUCCCCACAGCUGUCCUCUCCGGGCUCUCUUCCUCAGCCUGUCAGCAGCUUCUCUGACAGCAGCCAGGCUAGUGGAUCCUGGCCAGCCCAUUUUCCCAACCUGUAAAUGUGAUGGAAGGUUUUUCUGCUUGCAAUUAAUGUUUGGUUUCCAUCCCUUGCCAUGAAGUGAGGAAUGCUUCUGCGGCAUGUGCAGAGGCAUAGAUUUACCAGGGCAUCUCCCUGGCCUGCAACAAAUUGUCACUUCUCAACUGCAAAUCUAUCAAGCCAAGUGUUUCCUCAGCUGAGCUUUGAGAGAGGCUACUUAUGGGUGCUUCCUCCUCUUCUGAGCCACAAUGCAGGUUUGCUGGGUCUGUGCCAAAGGCUCUUACUUUCAGCUUCAGUAUUGCCUCAGCAGUGUGUUUGUCAGCAGUGAGCAACCUGUUGAACAGACCUCUUCCUCUGCUUCACCCUCUGUGGGGCCAGGAACAAGUAAGUGUGAUCAGAAGGAGGUUUGCCUGACAGAUUUGCUCCCAGGCAGCCGCUGGUCUCUCUCCACACAGCUGGUGGUGGGGCUGGGUCUACCCCACAAUGCACAUCUUCACACACACGUUCCUGUGUGUGUAUCAUGCAAGAUUGUACAAAGCUUUACAUAUAUAUAGUUACUGAAGCAAUCUGUGAAUAUAUCGCUCAAGAGACCCAGAUUUUAAUACAAACUCUAGAAAGCUGGAAUAUAAGUGGAUGGUUGGACUGGUUGAAUUUGUAGGUCUUUUCCAACCUUGAUGAUUCUAUGAUUCUUUGAUCAGCUCUACUGAAGCCAAUGGGAAAAAUGAAUUGGAUUAAUGUCCCAAUUUAAUCAAGUUAAGAAGGAUGUUUAUAUGAACUACAGCUUUUCGAAGUAGUAAAUGUUUGAGUCUGUUAAACAUUGCUGUUUAUGUAUGUGAUGUAAAAUAUAUUUUCUAGUUGUUAAGAACCAUUACUAGAUAAUUUAGAUAGUAACAAGGAUAGUAUUUUGGGAAAGAAGUUUAUACUUUUAUACUAAAGUAUACUUUAGUACUUUAACUAAAGUUAAGUACUGUGCUGCUAGAAGACAGAAUAUAGAAUGAAUACUGAGUUCCUCUCUCUAAAUUUUACAGUAUCGUACACUGAAAGGGUGGACAAACUGUGGGAGUCCUAAAUACUGCUAGUGAUUCCAUCUAGCUAGUCAGUUUAUGUAAAAUCAUUGACCUUGAUCUGAGGAUAGACCUCUUUAACACAAUCAAUACAGGUGCAAUCAGAUAAGAACAUUCUACUGUUUUAUUAAAGUGCAUCUAAUUCAAAACUCAAUAACUCUCACAAAUCCUUAAUCAGAGAAGACAUCCUGGGAGGUAUUUAGGUGAGUGAUCUUAUAACUCUUUCUCUCUCCUUGUUAGGAUGGCAUUUUACAAAUAGACAUGUCUGUUUCCUCUUUACCCUCUCUGCCAUAAUUCUUUCAGUGUACAGUUGUGUUGAUUAUUGUGCAUUUAUCAAGUCUCUUUUCCCCUUCAUUUAUUUAGAGGGAUUGAGUCAAGUGACAGCUUCUGCUUACCUCAUCCCCCAGGGUCGCUGUGGGCAGGCAUAUAAAUGCAAAUGUGCCUCCCUUACUGGCACACUGAGCCCUAUAUUCUAGUCUGUGACUUAGAUGCGUUACUCUAUAGGAGGUGUAGUAAAAAUGAAUGCUGCCUAACUCAGGGUGGCCUGGGAUAAUGAAAGAAAACAGUCCAUGUGCAGCAUAAUGUGAUAGCUUAAGUAGAACGAAAGGCAAAGACAAUGACUGAAUUUUUAGAAAUGAUUUUAAAUCAGAAUGAUACAUACUGAGUAAGACAAAAUAAGCCCAUGGUAGAGAGCUCUGAGAGCACUGCUUACAGUGAGAUAAUUAUUAUCCUUUUCAGGUGAUCCUCAGCAUGUUCCUUGAUAAUGUGAAAUAAAUUGUAAUUUGGAGCAUUUGAGCUGAGGGCAGAUUUUUUUUUUUUUUUGUCAUUUAAGUGCACAUACAACAGACUGAGGGCAUUAGAUCUCUUAGAGUGAGUGCAAACAACUGCAUAUACUUAUCUAAACUCCAUCUCCUUGUUUUACACAAAACAGCACUUAUCCAAUCUAUGAAAUAAAGUCAGAAAAAAGGUAUCAUAUGUGAUUGUAACUAUAAACUGCGCAGAAAGGCUUGAAGAUUGCUGCAGUCUCUUUAACAUGUGUCUGGUCACAAAAGAGGAGAUCUGAACACUGAUUUUUCAUGGGUAUGAGUCUUUUACACAGAGUCUUGAAUAAAAGCCGUAAUAGGAGUGGAUCUGAUUGGGGUGGAUUGACAUUACUGGUCAGAGUUGAUUAAAUUUAAAUAUCUCUUUUGUAGUGGAAAUGCCAGGUCACAGCUUAAAGCACUGAUUGAGCACCUGGUGGGAAGGCUGGGCCAGCUUAGGGGAGCUCAGGUACAUAUAACACACCUGAGACAAGACAGGAUCCUGGCUCCACCCCUUCCCAGACCUCGUGUAAGGGUUAGCAGUGGAGACAAAGGCUUCUUACUGGAGGUUCCUGUGUACUUCAGGCCUUCUGAAGCGAUUUUUAGAAAAGUUGAUGAGGAUGAAGAGUCACAAACUCCUCAAAUCCAACUCUGGUAAGAAAAGUCUCUGACCUUGAGCAUAUCCUUCAACUUCACUUUCAUUUCUUCCUUGUGAAAAUAACAGUGCACUUGCAGACAUUUAAUAACGGGGAAAUUUCAGUGAAGAGAGGAAGUCCUUUGGUGCACUUUGAUAUCAACAGAAAUCAGCAAUUCCAGUAGGUCAAGUCAGAUGGUCAAUAUGGGAAGGUUUAAAAUAAGUUUUCUUGUACAAGCAAGUCAGUGGACUAUUUGGGAGAUUCUCCUGGAAGGCAGAGAGAUGGCUGUCCUGUCACCUCUUCUAAGCAGUCAUUGCUCUACAGCUUUCAUAGGAAGAAGCUACAGGAGGAAUCUGCUGGACUGAUGCAUAGCAUGUGGUGUUCCUGCCUUGGCACUCUCUUUUCAGCAUAUAUUGCCCAUUAUUCUGACUGCUCCAGCCCUUCCAUAUGUCUGUGAACGUACUUGAGGGAGUUGGGAGUGGCAUGGGGUGAGCUAAUCUUUGCCCUCAGAAACUCUUCUUCAUAAUUCCUGGUAUGUUGGCCUUUGUCAGGUGACACCUUCAGAAAACUCCAGAGUGAACGUGGUUCAACCUUUGCAGAUUUCAGCACAGAAAAUACUACUCUGGGUCUUUUUCUGUUUACAAAUGAAGUCAGUCUUCCCCCCUCCCCC